GUUUGGAAACAGUUCUGGUUGACACAACUAGGGAACAGUGCAACUGGCAUCUAGUGGGUAGAGGCCAGGGAUGCUGUUAAACAUUCUACAAUGCAAAGGACAGUCCCAAUAACAAAGAAUUACCUGGCCCUAAAUGUCAUGAGUACCAAGGCCAAGACCUGGUCUAGGUGGAUGAGAGAUCAGUUUCACAUCCAAACCUCCAUGGUCUUACCAUUAGCAGAAAACAGCACAAUUGCUGUUUCGGGUCUGUCUACUUCUAAAAUUGUAUUCAUUAUUGAUCUGCGAGGUAAUUGUACUUCUGUAAGUUUUCUGACUAUUUAAAUUUUGCAUAAAUAUGCUGUAUGGGAGUGGGCAUGUAUAUAAAUGGCCAGGUUAUAUUGGUUACUAUACCUAGAUUAGAUUAGCUUUAGGAACAAACACAGUAAGAAGUCACUGAGUCUAAAAGAACGAAACCUGUUGAAAAAACAUAUCCAUGCCAAACUUUGUAGAAUAGGCAUAGCACUGCCCUGAAAAUGUAAUUCACACCUACAUAUCCCCAUUCCCUCCUUGUGUACCUUUCCUCUCCACCUCCCCCACCCGUCCACCCACUCCAUCACAUACGUUUGCCACCCACAGAAACCACACACAGCCCUUCCUUUCUGGCUUUCCAUUCAACCUCUCAUCACCCACCAAUCCCAGAGAAUGACAAAAAUCUUCUUGCGUGACUGAUCGACCCUAUGAGGCUUUUGUGGUUAAAAUAUAAAGUUCCUGAAAAAACCUUUCCAAAUCUGAAUGGGAUUGCAGUGACAUCAAAGCUUUUCCUCUUCAAUACCUUUCAUCUUUUUCAGACUCUGGCACUCUCCCCACCAGCUUCAAGUCAAUUAAUUGAAAAGUCAUUAGAAAGCUCCUCUGCUGUGAAGGCCCACCUCAUCAGCUCCAUAUCUGGGUCCUUCAAGAAGGAACAGAAGGGCCGUUGGCCUCCACAUUAUUGGUGCUUCGCCCACCUCCACCCUGUUCUGGUCUCAGACGCUGGAAUGGAGAUAGCACCUCUGAAUCCUCCCAAGUGGAUGAUCUGGCAAAG
rnacentral:lncRNA from 1 species